GCCGAAGUGGCGAAACUGGCAGACGCACUAGAUUCAGGGUCUAGCGCCCCAUGGGGGUGUGCGGGUUCAAAUCCCGCCUUCGGCACCA
rnacentral:tRNA from 1 species